GAGUAACGCGUAUGCAACCUACCCGUAGCAGGGGGAUAGCCCGAAGAAAUUCGGAUUAAUACCCCAUAAUAUCAUGAAUUCGCAUGUUUUUAUGAUUAAAAUUACGAUGGCUACGGAUGGGCAUGCGUGACAUUAGUUUGUUGGUGAGGUAAAGGCUCACCAAGACAGCGAUGUCUACGGGGUCUUAAAGGAUGAUCCCGCACACUGGUACUGAGACACGGACCAG
rnacentral:rRNA from 1 species